rnacentral:sRNA from 1 species
ACUAAUAGGAUUGAUAUCCUGGACUCGGCACUGCUUCGCCCAGGGCGCAUUGACAGAAAAAUUGAAUUCCCACCCCCCAAUGAGGAGGUUUGUGAUGGGCACUGUGCAAAGUGGCUCUGACUGUGGGGGUGGGGUGUGGGGCUCAGGCCUUUCCUUGCCAUCUCCAGGCCCGGCUGGACAUUUUGAAGAUUCAUUCUCGGAAGAUGAACCUGACCCGGGGGAUCAACCUGAGAAAAAUUGCUGAACUCAUGCCAGGAGCAUCAGGGGCUGAAGUGAAGGUAAUUGGAGUACCCACCGAAAACGGCAGAGGCAGGAAGCUCUGGGCUCAAGGGCGACAGAUGAGGGGCACAGCAGUGGGGCCUCAAUUUCCUUUUCCUGUUCAGGGCGUGUGCACAGAAGCUGGCAUGUAUGCCCUGCGAGAACGGCGAGUCCAUGUCACUCAGGAGGACUUUGAGAUGGCAGUAGCCAAGGUCAUGCAGAAGGACAGUGAGAAAAACAUGUCCAUCAAGAAAUUAUGGAAGUGAGUGGACAGCCUUUGUGUGUAUCUCUCCAAUAAAGCUCUGUGGGCCAAGUC